rnacentral:lncRNA from 1 species
UCACAAAAAUAUACAAAUGAAUGAAAAUGGUUAUGACCCACCCAUGACUGCAGUGGGUUCGCUGUCAUCUGAUGUGAUCUAUACCACCUGUUCCUAUGUGACUGAGAGGACCACUGGCCAUCCAUAUCCUGGGAGGUUACAUCAUCACUUUGCACCUCACACUCUAGGUGAUCACAUUGUUUUAAAAGUGUGACUCCCAUUGCUGAUCACCCUGGAGAUUUCUGCAUGGGGGGCACCCUGAACUUGAAAAUCUCUGAAGUGCCUCUCAAGAUUCAGGGCACUAAGGUCCAAAGGAGUGAAGACUGGCAAACUGAUAAUAACUCCCCAAAUCUAUUACACUGACAUGUAUCAUCAAAUUAAUAAAUUCCA